rnacentral:rRNA from 1 species
UUGGAGGGCAAGUCUGGUGCCAGCAGCCGCGGUAAUUCCAGCUCCAAUAGCGUAUAUUAAAGUUGUUGCAGUUAAAAAGCUCGUAGUUGAAUUUCGGGAUUGACACAUCGGUCGUGCCUUAAGGGGUAUGAACUGGUGUAGUCAAUUUCUCACCUUCUGGAGAACCGCGAUGCCCUUAAUUGGGUGUCACGGAACCAGACCUAUC